rnacentral:tRNA from 1 species
GUGGUCUUCAGCGGGCCGCGGGAUGCCCCAGGCCGGCUCGUGGUCGGCCGCUUCGGGGUCGGACGCUUCGGGGCGGGUCGCUUCGGCUUGGCCCGCG